rnacentral:rRNA from 1 species
CCUACGGGUGGCAGCAGUGGGGAAUAUUGCACAAUGGGGGAAACCCUGAUGCAGCGACGCCGCGUGAGUGAAGAAGUAAUUCGUUAUGUAAAGCUCUAUCAGCAGGGAAGAAAAUGACGGUACCUGAGUAAGAAGCCCCGGCUAACUACGUGCCAGCAGCCGCGGUAAUACGUAGGGGGCAAGCGUUAUCCGGAUUUACUGGGUGUAAAGGGAACGUAGACGGCGGUGCAAGUCUGGAGUGAAAGGCGGGGGCUCAACCCCCGGACUGCUCUGGAAACUGUCCGGCUGGAGUGCGAGAGAGGUAAGUGGAAGUCCUGGUGUAGCGGUGAAAUGCGUAGAUAUUAGGAGGAACACCAGUGGCGAAGGCGGCUUACUGGACUGUAACUGACGUUGAGGCUCGAAAGCGUGGGGAGCGAACAGGAUUAGAUACCCCUGUAGUC